rnacentral:piRNA from 1 species
CCACGAUCACUCCGACACCAUCCCUGGA